GAAAUGCGAUACGUAAUGUGAAUUGCAGAAUUCAGUGAAUCAUCGAAUCUUUGAACGCACAUUGCGCCCGCCAGUAUUCUGGCGGGCAUGCCUGUCCGAGCGUCAUUUCAACCAUCAAGCCCCCGGGCUUGUGUUGGGGACCUGCGGCUGCCCGCAGGCCCUGAAAACCAGUGGCGGGCUCGCUGUCACACCGAGCGUAGUAGCAAUCACCUCGCUCAGGGCGUGCUGCGGGUUCCGGCCGUUAAACAGCCUUACAAAACCAAAGGUUGACCUCGGAUCAGGUAGGAAGACCCGCUGAACUUAAGC
rnacentral:misc_RNA from 1 species